rnacentral:rRNA from 1 species
UACGGAGGGAGCUAGCGUUGUUCGGAAUUACUGGGCGUAAAGCGCACGUAGGCGGCUUUGUAAGUUAGAGGUGAAAGCCUGGAGCUCAACUCCAGAAUUGCCUUUAAGACUGCAUCGCUUGAAUCCAGGAGAGGUGAGUGGAAUUCCGAGUGUAGAGGUGAAAUUCGUAGAUAUUCGGAAGAACACCAGUGGCGAAGGCGGCUCACUGGACUGGUAUUGACGCUGAGACGCGAAAGCGUGGGGAGCGAACAGG